rnacentral:rRNA from 1 species
CCUACGGGCGGCUGCAGUGAGGAAUAUUGGUCAAUGGCCGGAAGUCUGAACCAGCCAAGCCGCGUGAAGGACGAAGGUUCCAAGCAUUGUAAACUGCUUUUGUCAGGGGGCAAAAGCAGGCUCGAGAACCUGACCGAGAGUAUCGUAAGAAAAAGCAUCGGCUAACUCCGUGCCAGCAGCCGCGGUAAUACGGAGGAUUCGAGCGUUAUCCGGAUUUAUUGGGUUUAAAGGGAGCGUAGAUGGGUUGUUAAGUGAGUUGUGAAAGUGUGCGGCUGAACCGUAAAAUUGCAAUUGAUACUGGUAGUCUUGAGUACAGUUGAGGUAAGCGGAAUUCGUGGUGUAGCGGUGAAAUGCUUAGAUAUCACGAAGAACCCCGAGUGGGAAGGCAGCUUACUAAACUGUGACUGACAUUGAUGCUCGAAAGUGUGGGUAUCAAACAGGAGUAGAUACCCGAGUAGUC